GACGAACGCUGGCGGCGUGCUUAACACAUGCAAGUCGAACGGAAAGGCCCUGCUUUUUUGGGGUGCUCGAGUGGCGAACGGGUGAGUAACACGUGAGUAACCUGCCCUUGACUUUGGGAUAACUUCAGGAAACUGGGGCUAAUACCGGAUAGGAGCUCCUGCUGCAUGGUGGGGGUUGGAAAGUUUCGGCGGUUGGGGAUGGACUCGCGGCUUAUCAGCUUGUUGGUGGGGUAGUGGCUUACCAGGGCUUUGACGGGUAGCCGGCCUGAGAGGGUGACCGGCCACAUUGGGACUGAGAUACGGCCCAGACUCCUACGGGAGGCAGCAGUGGGGAAUAUUGCACAAUGGGCGGAAGCCUGAUGCAGCAACGCCGCGUGCGGGAUGACGGCCUUCGGGUUGUAAACCGCUUUCGCCUGUGACGAAGCGUGAGUGACGGUAAUGGGUAAAGAAGCACCGGCUAACUACGUG
rnacentral:rRNA from 1 species